CCGCGGUAAGACGAACCGUACAAACGUUAUUCGGAAUCACUGGGCUUAAAGGGUGCGUAGGCGGCGGUGCAAGUUGGGUGUGAAAUCCCUCGGCUCAACCGAGGAACUGCGCUCAAAACUGCGUCGCUUGAGGGAGAUAGAGGUGAGUGGAACUUAGGGUGGAGCGGUGAAAUGCGUUGAUAUCCUAAGGAACACCAGUGGCGAAAGCGACUCACUGGGUCUCUUCUGACGCUGAGGCACGAAAGCUAGG
rnacentral:rRNA from 1 species